GAUGAACGCUGGCGGCGUGCCUAAUACAUGCCAGUCGAGCGAACAGACGAGGAGCUUGCUCCUCUGACGUUAGCGGCGGACGGGUGAGUAACACGUGGAUAACCUACCUAUAAAACUGGGAUAACUUCGGGAAACCGGAGCUAAUACCGGAUAAUAUAUUGAACCGCAUGGUUCAAUAGUGAAAGACGGUUUUGCUUUACCUUAUAGAUGGAUCCGCGCCGCAUUAGCUAGUUGGUAAGGUAACGGCUUACCAAGGCGACGAUGCGUAGCCGACCUGAGAGGGUGAUCGGCCACACUGGAACUGAGACACGGUCCAGACUCCUACGGGAGGCAGCAGUAGGGAAUCUUCCGCAAUGGGCGAAAGCCUGACGGAGCAACGCCGCGUGAGUGAUGAAGGUCUUCGGAUCGUAAAACUCUGUUAUUAGGGAAGAACAAAUGUGUAAGUAACUAUGCACGUCUUGACGGUACCUAAUCAGAAAGCCACGGCUAACUACGUG
rnacentral:rRNA from 1 species